UUGAAUAAUUUUGGGUAGGUUGCUGCUGGCUCUCACAGGGCAUGUGCACGCCGACUCCAAUUUUUCAACUCCCUGUGCACCUUUGCAUAGAUCUGAAUCUUUUGAGGAAAACUCAGUUUGAGAAUUGUUGCGCAAGAAAGGCCGACUCUUCUUGUUUUCAGAUUUGUGUUUUCACACACAACUUAUAUGUAUUUGAAUAUAAACUAUAUUGGCCUUGUGCCUUUAAAAAUUAGUA
rnacentral:misc_RNA from 1 species